rnacentral:rRNA from 1 species
GAUGAACGCUGGCGGCGUGCCUUAUACAUGCAAGUCGAGUGGGUUUAGACCCACGGCAAACGGGUGAGUAACACGUAGGUACUUUCCUUGUCACAGGAAUAACCCUCCGAAAGGAGGGCUAAUACCUGAUGUGAUCGCAAGAUUAAAGGGUAUCCGCAAGGAUUACCGGACAAGAAGAGGCCUGCGGCCUAUCAGCUAGUUGGCGGGGUAAAUGCCCACCAAGGCUAUGACGGGUAGCUGGUCUUAUGAGGAUGAUCAGUCACAUGGGCACUGAGACACGGGCCCAACUCCUACGGGAGGCAGCAGUAGGGAAUUUUGCGCAAUGGGCGAAAGCCUGACGCAGCGACGCCGCGUGCGGGAGGAAGGCCUUCGGGUCGUAAACCGCUUUUAUAAGGGACGAACUUUGACGGUACCUUAUGAAUAAGAGGUUGCUAACUCGGUG